rnacentral:rRNA from 1 species
GACAGAGGCCUCGAGCGUUAGGCGGAAUCACUGGGCUUAAAGCGUGUGUAGGCGGAUCGUUAAGUGCCUUGUGAAAUCCCACGGCUUAACUGUGGAACGGCUGGGCAUACUGGCGGUCUUGAGCCAUCUAGGGGCGACUGGAACAAACGGUGGAGCGGUGAAAUGCGUAGAUAUCUGGAGGAACACCGGUGGCGAAGGCGGCAUCCUGGACCAAUACUGACGCUGAGGCACGAAAGCGUGGGGAGCAAACAGG